rnacentral:rRNA from 1 species
ACCUCAAAUCAGGUAGGACUACCCGCUGAACUUAAGCAUAUCAAUAAGCGGAGGAAAAGAAACUAACAAGGAUUCCCCUAGUAACUGCGAGUGAAGCGGGAAGAGCUCAAAUUUUGAAUCUGGCAGUCCUUGGCUGUCCGAGUUGUAAUCUAGAGAAGUGUUUUCCGCGCCGGACCGUGUAUAAGUCUCCUGGAAGGGAGCGUCGUAGAGGGUGAGAAUCCCGUCUUUGACACGGACUACCAGUGCUAUGUGAUGCGCUCUCGACGAGUCGAGUUGUUUGGGAAUGCAGCUCAAAACGGGUGGUAAACUCCAUCUAAAGCUAAAUACAGGCGAGAGACCGAUAGCGAACAAGUACCGUGAGGGAAAGAUGAAAAGAACUUUGGAAAGAGAGUUAAACAGUACGUGAAAUUGCUGAAAGGGAAACGCUUGAUGUCAGUCGCGUUGGCUGGGGAUCAACCUUGCUUCGCGCUGGGUGUACUUCCCGGUCGACGGGUCAGCAUCAGUUUCAGUCGCCGUACAAGGGCGAGGGGAACGUGGCACUCCUCGGAGUGUGUUAUAGCCUUUCGUCGUAUGCGGCGGUCGGGACUGAGGUGCUCA